CGUAGGGUCCGAGCGUUGUCCGGAAUUAUUGGGCGUAAAGGGCUCGUAGGCGAUUCGUCACGUCGGGAGUGAAAACUCGGAGCUUAACUCCGAGCCUGCUUCCGAUACGGGCAGACUAGAGGUAGGCAGGGGAGAGCGGAACUCCUGGUGUAGCGGUGGAAUGCGCAGAUAUCAGGAAGAACACCGGUGGCGAAGGCGGCUCUCUGGGCCUUACCUGACGCUGAGGAGCGAAAGCGUGGGUAGCGAACAGGAUUAGAUACCCUGGUAGUCCACGCCGUAAACGUUGGGCGCUAGGUGUGGGGGACAUUCCACGUCCUCCGUGCCGCAGCUAACGCAUUAAGCGCCCCGCCUGGGGAGUACGGCCGCAAGGCUA
rnacentral:rRNA from 1 species